rnacentral:lncRNA from 1 species
CGGGCGGCUCCGGGAUCCCCAGAUCCCAGGGGAGGGAUCCGGGGGGAUCCGGGGGGAUCCGGGGGGAUCCGAGCGUCCGAGGAUCCCGCGGGGACGGACGGACAGUCCGGGAAUCCUCGCCAGUCCGGUCCUGGGGAGAGCCGUGGGGAUCCGGGAAAGGGAUCCAGGAGGGAUCCGGUGGGAUCUGUGGGAGAUCUGGUGAAUCCAAACGGGAUCUGGUGCGGCCAGGAGGGCCCUGGAGGAUCCCAGGCGAGUCUGGAGGAUCCGUGUGGGAUGCGGAGGAUCCGGGAGGGAUCUGCUGGAUCCAAGUGGGGCCUGCUGGAACCAGGAGGGAUCUGGAGGGUCCAGGAGGGAUCUGGUGCUGAGGAGGAUCCUUGGAAGCUUCAGAAAGUGCUGGGAGAGGAGCUCGGGGAGAGUCCCGGGGCGGGAUCAGGGCUGGGAUCUGGUGGGAUCCGGGCUGGGAUCGGGGUGGGAAUCUGGGCUGGAAUCCUCGCUGUAAGCUGGCUGGAUCCCGAUGGAUCCCGGCUGGAUCCCAGUGGAUCCCUCCUCAGUCGCUGCAGCACUGCCCUGGCCCUGCAGGCUGGGCUGGAGCUUGAUCCCACUGGAUCCUGGCUGGAUCCCAGCUGGAUUUGGGCUGGAUCCUGGCUUGCUCCCAGUGGAUCCCAGCUGGAUUUGAGCUGGAUUCCGGCAGAUCCCUCAGUUGCUGCAGCACUGCCCGUGGGGGCUGGGCGUAGGUCAGAUUCCAUCAGAUGUCAGCAGAUCCCAGCAGAUCCCGGCAGAUCCCUCAGUUGCUGCAGCACUGCCCGCGGAGGCUGGGUGUGGGUCGGAUCCCAGCAGAUGUCAGCAGAUCCCAUCAGAUGUCAGUAGAUCCCGGCGGAUCCCAGCGGAUCCCAGCGGAUCCCGGCGGAUCCCUCAGUUGCUGCAGCACUGCCCGCGGGGGCUGGGUGUGGGUCGGAUCCCAGCGGAUGUCAGCAGAUCCCAUCAGAUGUCAGUAGAUCCCAGCAGAUCCCAGCAGAUGUCAGCGGAUCCCGGUGGAUCCCAGCAGAUCCCGGCGGAUCCCUCAGUUGCUGCAGCACUGCCCGCAGGGGCUGGGUGUGGGUCAGAUCCCAGCAGAUGUCAGCAGAUCCCGGCAGAUCCCGGCAGAUCCCAUCAGAUCCCGGCGGAUCCCAGCGGAUCCCUCAGUUGCUGCAGCACUGCCCGCGGGGGCUGGGUGUGGGUCGGAUCCCAGCGGAUGUCAGCAGAUCCCAGCAGAUGUCAGUAGAUCCCAGCAGAUCCCAUCAGAU